UUAAAUUGAAGAGUUUGAUCAUGGCUCAGAUUGAACGCUGGCGGCAGGCCUAACACAUGCAAGUCGAACGGUAACAGGAAGCAGCUUGCUGCUUUGCUGACGAGUGGCGGACGGGUGAGUAAUGUCUGGGAAACUGCCUGAUGGAGGGGGAUAACUACUGGAAACGGUGGCUAAUACCGCAUAACGUCGCAAGACCAAAGAGGGGGACCUUCGGGCCUCUUGCCAUCAGAUGUGCCCAGAUGGGAUUAGCUUGUUGGUGAGGUAACGGCUCACCAAGGCGACGAUCCCUAGCUGGUCUGAGAGGAUGACCAGCCACACUGGAACUGAGACACGGUCCAGACUCCUACGGGAGGCAGCAGUGGGGAAUAUUGCACAAUGGGCGCAAGCCUGAUGCAGCCAUGCCGCGUGUAUGAAGAAGGCCUUCGGGUUGUAAAGUACUUUCAGCGGGGAGGAAGGUGUUGUGGUUAAUAACCGCAGCAAUUGACGUUACCCGCAGAAGAAGCACCGGCUAACUCCGUGCCAGCAGCCGCGGUAAUACGGAGGGUGCAAGCGUUAAUCGGAAUUACUGGGCGUAAAGCGCACGCAGGCGGUCUGUCAAGUCGGAUGUGAAAUCCCCGGGCUCAACCUGGGAACUGCAUUCGAAACUGGCAGGCUUGAGUCUUGUAGAGGGGGGUAGAAUUCCAGGUGUAGCGGUGAAAUGCGUAGAGAUCUGGAGGAAUACCGGUGGCGAAGGCGGCCCCCUGGACAAAGACUGACGCUCAGGUGCGAAAGCGUGGGGAGCAAACAGGAUUAGAUACCCUGGUAGUCCACGCCGUAAACGAUGUCUACUUGGAGGUUGUGCCCUUGAGGCGUGGCUUCCGGAGCUAACGCGUUAAGUAGACCGCCUGGGGAGUACGGCCGCAAGGUUAAAACUCAAAUGAAUUGACGGGGGCCCGCACAAGCGGUGGAGCAUGUGGUUUAAUUCGAUGCAACGCGAAGAACCUUACCUGGUCUUGACAUCCACAGAACUUUCCAGAGAUGGAUUGGUGCCUUCGGGAACUGUGAGACAGGUGCUGCAUGGCUGUCGUCAGCUCGUGUUGUGAAAUGUUGGGUUAAGUCCCGCAACGAGCGCAACCCUUAUCCUUUGUUGCCAGCGGUUAGGUCGGGAACUCAAAGGAGACUGCCAGUGAUAAACUGGAGGAAGGUGGGGAUGACGUCAAGUCAUCAUGGCCCUUACGACCAGGGCUACACACGUGCUACAAUGGCGCAUACAAAGAGAAGCGACCUCGCGAGAGCAAGCGGACCUCAUAAAGUGCGUCGUAGUCCGGAUUGGAGUCUGCAACUCGACUCCAUGAAGUCGGAAUCGCUAGUAAUCGUGGAUCAGAAUGCCACGGUGAAUACGUUCCCGGGCCUUGUACACACCGCCCGUCACACCAUGGGAGUGGGUUGCAAAAGAAGUAGGUAGCUUAACCUUCGGGAGGGCGCUUACCACUUUGUGAUUCAUGACUGGGGUGAAGUCGUAACAAGGUAACCGUAGGGGAACCUGCGGUUGGAUCACCUCCUUACCUUAAAGAAGC
rnacentral:rRNA from 1 species